GGAGGAUUGGCAGCAGUUAGCUCAGGGCUAAUCUUCCUCAAAAAAAAAAAAAAAAAGAAUACAGGCAUUGGGUGACAGCGUGAGCUGAAGGCUCUGUGUUUUGAGAUGUGUAUUUCUCCCAGGAAAACCAACGAGCAGGAAGCAGCUUGCUCCUGCUCUCCCUCCUAUCCUACAGGGACAGCAGUCUGGGGCCAGAGCAGACCCCUCAGCUCUCCAUCGCAGGUCCACGGCAGACAGCACGACUCUGGAAACAUGGGUUCCCUCUUUAUGGCGUUCAGCUUGCAGAGGCAGAGGCGGGGUGACGGGAGAUGAUUCAAGAGUGACAGAGCUCCCACCCCCUCUCCCACACGCCAGUUCUGUUUAGGCCUUCCUCUUUUCGAUGCCUUAAAAGAGAAAGACUCCAUGAGCAGAGCCACAGAUAUUAAUAAUAACUGCUGCAGUUUGGUUUUCAUUUGAAUCAUGUUUACGUUGUUGGGAAAAAACCCACUUGUCUGGGAAGAUGAAGCAGGUUGAACCAAUUAAACAUAUGCCCAACAGUCAAAACUUCCCGUUUCUUGAAGGAAGUCAAGAAGCGCGGUUAGAACCGUUGGCGUUCCUAGUACCGGCCUGUCCAACGGAACUGGGGUUACAGGUCACCCGGAUUCCACAGCUCUGGACCACUGAGGCUGCCACUGUGGACGCACAUAUUUCUGGUUGCCUACUUUCUCCUUCCUCUACACACACACACACACACACACACACACGCUUUGGGGGCCUAGGCGGGACACAGAUUAGACCCAAAGCUGCUGCCCAGGUGUGUGAGAGCCUCUGCUGGGCUCCUCAGGAGACCAGGGCACAGGCCUGUGCUGCCACUGCCCACGGGCAGAGGGAGCAGAGCGGGACAUCAGGGAGUCCAAGAAGGAGAUGAGGAAAGAGAGCCCUUGGAGGGGCCAGCCAGCGCAGACAAGCACGGGCGACCGGCUCCUUUGUGGGUCUUGAGCGCUGGACUUGUCACACCCCUGGCAGCAUCAACCUGUGGGAACAGGAGUGGCCCCCUGCCUGCUUAGACACAGCUCUGGGCACAGCCCCCCGGUGGCUUUUGCAGUAUUGAUUUGUGGGUAGAAACACAGUCUUGCAAGAACUGUUUCCACAUUCAUGUGGACGGGCUUAUCUGACCCGGGCUCAGGGCAGGAAAGUCCACGGCAGCAACGGGCACACACAGACACCGCUCCCCAAGAAAGGCCUUAAUGCCAAACCCCUCGACAGCAAAGGUCUGAAUGGUGCAAAGCAAUGACGUGCAUUUUGUGCCUCUGGAUUUCUAGUCUCUUCCCAUUCUCCUGGGAUUCUGGGCUGUUGCUUGGCAGCAUUAGAUGCCCCCCUAUCUCGCUGAGCUUGUGCCCCCUGCCCCUUCACCUGGCUUACGGGCCAUUCACAGCGGCCUCCCUGCAGUUCCACGGACACAUCUCGCUGACCAUGGCCCCAUCUCAGGGCCUUUGCAGCUGCCUUUCCCUCUGCCUGUACCUCUUUUGUCAAGAUGCCACCUUGCGAAGGUGAGGACUUCCCUGCCCACUCUAUUUAAAAACGCAGCCCCCACCCAGCCCUCCCCACGCCUUGCUUUCUCUCUGGCCACCUUGCACGCUAUUCGCCUGCCCCUCUGCCAUCACUUGAGCUCCAAGUGUUGUCUGCUGUGUUCACAGCUGUAUCUCCAGUGCCCAGCACAGAAUCUAGCACAAACUAGAUGCUCAAGUACUUGUUGAAUGAGUGAAUUCAGCCAGCACUUGCCCUGUACCAGGCAAUGUGCUGAGUGGGGGCUGGGCAAACAGAAAUGGGGAAGGGUCUGUGCCCUGGAAUGCCAUCUGAUGGAGGAGACUGCCGUGCCACAUCCAGGAGAGCAGACCACACAAUGUGCAGUAAGAUGCGAGGUGGGCCUGCCAAAUCAACAUGCCCAUCUCAGCCAGCCCUGGGGCAGGACCACUCACUAAUCCACCUGGUGGACUGGGCAGUAGGAAGACCGGAGCGGUCCUCCUCAUUCAAGAGGCCAGUGAUUUGAUGCCAUCAAUGCCGAGUUACUGAGUCAAGAGCCAGCAGAGGGGAUGCAGAGGAAAACAGAGCCCAACCCCAGGGAUCCUGCACGCCUGCCAAGGCCAAGUCACCGUGCCCAGUGCCAACACCAGGCAGCUGGCAGAGCAGAUAAAGAUGCUUCCUUUUCAAAACGCAAUGAGCCCUGUGCCAGGGGACACAGCACAGGGCCAGAGCGUGGGCACGCUCUGCCCAGGCUGUCCCUCCCUCGUCUAAGGCCCAAAGUCUCUGAGAUGCCUGCCUUCCAGAAUUGCCCACCUGCUAUUUUACUGGGAGUCUCUCCCACUCCCUCCACCUCCUCCCUACCCACACCUAAAAUAUAUAAAGUGAAGCAAAAUCAGGAAGCCCCUCAAAGCAGGCAGCCCACCUCCGAGGAGGGGCUGCAGCCCUAGGAAAGGAAGUUUCUAGCCACCUUGGUGGGGGGACAGGGGGAGGAGGAAGGUGAGAACUGUGAGGGCCCCAGGUGAACAGCUGAAGAGAAAGCCCUGGGUGUGGGGGCAGCUGGUCCCGCCAGCGGGGAAGUGGCUAGGAGGCCACCAAGGGCAAAUGUGCUUCAGGGAGCAAAGGGAAGGAGGGAGGGAGAGUGGCCAGUGGAACAGGCACCAGGAAGUUCUCAAGCUGCAGCCCAGAGCCUCCCCAGUGUGGGCUGCCCAGGCCUCCUCAUUUCUCCUCCCUUGCAGGACUAAGUGUCCUUUCUGUGAACAGGCUCCAGGCUGUCUCUCCUACUUGUCUUCCUUGGGGCAAAGGUUACACCUCCCGGCCUACUUACCUGGCCUGGCUAGUCCCGUCCCUCCCCCAGGCACACGCUGGCCUUAGUCACUCACCCCACCCUCUCCACCAAAGCCCAGGGUCCCCCAGAUUACCAAGCUGUUCGCCAGUAGGCAUUUGCCCAAGCUGUGCUGCCUGCUACCCAAGUCCCAAGUUCUCCACUGGCUUCUCGAUUCCUCCAAGUGCCCCAACCUCGGUGAACUCACAGGGACCCCAGAGACAACCCAGAAGUUGGGCAGGGAAUAAUUUGACACAGGUUUUCAGUCUCCCCACGGCCUGCAAAUGCCUUGAGGGCAGGAAAGUGUCCGUGUAUAACAGUCCCUGGGCACAUAAUGAACCUUGCAUGAAUGCCAGCUCAGCACGGUAGGGUUUGGGCCAGUCUGUCUGGGACUGGUGCCCGGCAGAUGACAAGACCCCAGAUAAUGGCAAUGACUCAAGGACUCCACCAAGGCUGGGUAGAUGGUUACAGAGAGGCGCCUACUGCUCAGGUGUGACAUCCACACAGCUGGUAAACCUUUGAGGUUCAUUCUUCCUCAAGCUGAUAGUCACUGUAAUCUGUUUCAGGAGGGAAGGACCUGGGGAUGAGCCCACCUGCCCCCUUGCCAGGGGCCCAAGAUGUGAGCACCUGCCUCCAGGAAGGGAGGCCAGAGGCUUGGAUCUCUGGGCACCAGCCCAGGGGUUUGCCAGGCUGAGCACAGGAACCCAGCCCCCUCGAGCUCCUUUCAGGAAGAGGUCUAUAAAUAAGUCAGUCAAGGAACGGGCACGUCCCUCAGGCCCCAGUGAUGUGAACCCUCCAGCCGUCUGUGGGAGAGCAGGGCUAGGGAAAAGGGGAAAUGGGCAAAGAGGUACGCUGGAGGGUGUGCAGGAUGAGAAGGAAUAAAGGCCGGGCUGAGUAAGGACCAGGUUCCCAUAGCACAGACGGGGUUCUCCAGAGACUGCUCCGCCAAGACCUCGGAGAUACCUGUCGUCCGCAGAGAAGCGGCUGUGACAACAGCAACUACUACCGGGGCGGACCCGCCGGCUCUGGGGGCCCAGAAGGAGAAGGGCUGGGAGCCCGCGCACACCUCCGGCCUCAGCCGCAUCUCGUCUGGGAAGGGGCAGGGCUCCGUCCCCAAGCCCCACACUAGGCUCGCCCUGCCUCUUGCCCGGCAGUGCCCCUGCGAGAGCCGAGGGAAGCCCGGGAACAGGCUCGGUGCAGCCGCCAAGAGCUGCGGAAAAACUUCGUCCGCGCGCAGCCCCCUUCGGGACUCGGCGGGGCCCACGGCUGGGAGCGGGGGCAACACCAGCCCGGGAGGGGCAGGUCCCCCUAAAGCACUUUUUUUAACUGCGCCGAAGACAGGGGGCCACCUCUCCUCGCGCCCCGGGGCUAGGGCUGGCCACCCUCGCACCUGAGCGCAGGCAGAGGGCCCGGAGGGGGCGGCGGAGGCAGCGGCUUCUCCUCCGUGGCCGAGCGAGCCUGGACGCAGGUAAGCUGACCUCCCGGGCCGGGGCCGAGAGGGCGGACACUCCUGGGGCGGGAGCCGGCGCCCGGCCCGCCUGCGGACCAAGUUCCGCACUCCGGCAACUUCCCUGGCCCCGGGGCCGCGGGCCGGGCCAGGUGCGCGUCGCCGGAGCCCCGCGAGCCCGAGUCCCCGUCCGCAGCUUACCUGGCCCCCGUGGGCGGGCGGGGUGCGCAUCCCCAGUCUGGCCGCGGUCGGUGCGCUGCGGAGGGGCAGGGAGGCAGCGGACAGCGCGGAGGGCUCAGGGACAGUCCCCUUCGCGCCGCGGCCGCUCGCACGGUUCGGCACCGCUCGAGAGUGCCGGCCCCACCCCCACCCGCGCCCGUUGCCGGGAGACCCGCGUGGGCCGAAGGGCUCUUUGUAUCAAAGGCGCUGUGACAUCACGAGGUGCCCGGGCUGGGGGAUCGAGGGGGCGGGGCCUCGCGCGGGGGGCGGGGCCGGAGGAGGAGGAAGCGCGGCCUGGGAACCCGAGCCGCGGGGGGCGGGGCCCAGGUAACCCCGCCCCCGAAGGUAGGGGCAGGUGGCCGGGUGGCUCCCGCCAAUGGCCACGCGGCCGCGGGGCGGGCCCGGGCGACCCGCAGGCGCCUCGGGAGGUGGAGCCCGCUUGGGCCCGCCGGAGCCCGCGUCGCCAGGUUCCUGCCCCCUCCCCCGGGCCCUGGGAUUCCAGGACGGAGCCUGUGCGUUCACGUGCCUGCCUGCGGGCGCUGUCGCCGCCGCUGCUGUUUGCGGUCACCGCGCUGGGAGAUUCCGGUCAGCGCUUCCAGCCUCACAUUUGCGGACCCAAAUGAAGACCCGCCAACCCCCUACCUCUCUCGCCCACCACCACCACCAGCCUGAGUCUAGUGGCUCCUAAAUUGAUUCUUAUCCUGAAUCCCACCUAAAAAAAAAAAAACAAAGAGGGAGGGACCCCUUCUGAUGAAUCUUAGUAGACACAAUUUAAAUUAAAAACGCGCCCCGCUCAUAACUCUUCACUAUGCUGCAGAUUAAAACAAGGCAAAGAUGUAAAGCAA